GUUUACAAUUGGGUUUUGUAAAUAGAUUUUUGAAUAAUCAGUCACACUCUUCUUUGUUGGCUUUUCUGUGAAGCUUUCUAAUGUUCUGGUGGUUUGAUUUUUUAAAUUGUACGAUUUUUAAGUUUCAAAUUUGUUUGAGUGAUGGUGUUAACUGAUACAGAUUCGGCUAGAAUCAUUGAAUUGUAAGAUGGAAGAAGCCAAGUGUAUACGGCCAAAUUUCCAGAACAACCAACCGAAAGGUCUUCCAUCGCUACCAAGAUACUGGAGAUUAUUCGAGAAGGCAUGGAUCAAGUCGCAAUCGCGUCACAUCUCAGAGAGAUGAUCGUUUUAUUGUUUUGAAUUUAAUCUGUAAUGGACAUUCUACCACUGUUGAGAUCAAGCGACGACUUCACCGAAAUGUUAAUGUCUGUUUACGCACUGUAAGGCAAAGACUUUCAGGAGAUAGAUUAUGUGCGAAAUGGCCUGCCACUGGUCAAGUACUUCUGACAAGGCACAGAACAGCUCGGUUAAGUUUCACAAGAAACCACUUCAAUUGGUUUGAGCAAGAUUGGACUAAAAUUUUGUUUUCGGAUGAGUCAAGGCUUUUUUUGAGGUCUUCGGAUGGGCGAGACAGGGUUUGGAGAAGAACAGGAGAGCAAAACAUCCCUGCAACAUUUUCAUUCUGGAGAAGCUAUGGAGGUGGUGAUAUGAUUUGGGCAGGCAAUUCUAAGGAAAGUCGCACAAACUUGAUCUUCAUCAAGGGUACCCUAACAAAUAUGUUUUAGUUGUGUUAUCAGUAGUUGUUCCUUAUAUGACACUAAUUGAUGACGAUUUCAUUUUUAUACAUGGUAAUGCAAACCCCAACAUAGAUAGGAUCACAUGUGAGCACUUGGAAAGGGCUUCAAUUGAAUGUUCGUCCCGAUUUAAACCCUAUUGAACAUCUUUGGAACAAGUUGUCAAAGAGGGUAAAAUGUCGUGCAGUGAUUCCAGAGAAUUUGCAGGAAUUAAGAAUGCCGUUGGCGGAGUAUAAAAAUAUUCCACAGCACUACACUCCUCACUACACCUCAUAAAAUCGAUGCAAACAGUGAUCAACGCAAGGGGAGGCUCCAUACUUUUUUUUUAUUUAGCUAUAUCUUUCAUUUUUCUUUAAAAACAUCCAGUAAAUAACCAAAAUAAAAAUUAUAAUUAUUGCAAAUAUUUACUAAAUGGCAAAGUACUAUUCAACAUACAUUUGUUAUAAGGUUUUUGGGCUCUAAAUUCAAUGGUGCAAACGUUGUUUUAUUAUUUGGAUAAGCAAAAAACUUUUUAAAAACAUUACUUUUCAGAAAACUAAAUCUCCAAAUUUGUCAACCAAGGACCAAUUUAUUUAUUUUCAUUUUAAUUCCUUUUUAUUUAGUUGAGAGUGUUAUAAUAGGUCAUGAGGUUAUCGUCAUUUUAGAUAGCAUGGAAGACUAAAAGGGUGGGACAAUCAGGAAAGAAUUUGGGCUUUGGGUUAGAGUGGAGGGAUAGUUUCAAGUGGAAAUUGAGAAAGCGAGUUCGGAUCACAUCCUUCACAAAUGGGAUUUUAAGAUCUUUAAGGACCAUUUUCUUGGUCAUUUAGAAGGGAGCAUUGAGGAUAUGGCGAUUUUGGAAAGGAUUGGAUUCAUUAGAUGGAGGAUUCAGCCAAGACCCACAGUCUCUGUAGGUCCACUUGGUCUGAUGAGUGUUUUGUAACUAGUUAGUUUGGUAUUGAUUGGUUUGAUUUUGGUCCCGGUAGGUGUCUGGGUCGCAGUCUAAGAAAAAGGAGAUUUUGGUCAUCAGUGACUCUGUCAGAGGGAAAACCUUUCUAAUACACAUACUGGAAACGGUACAUCCUCUUCGGUGCAGAAAAGUGAUACUGACACCAAGAAAUAAGCGAAGGAGAACCCGAGAAAGAGCUAAACUAGGUCGCAGUGGAAGAAAAGGGAAACUUUGACACCUAAAAAAAUAAACGAAUGAGAACCUAAGAAAAUGCUAAACUACCAUAAGCGUAGUACAUUUUACAAGAAGGGUCAAUUCCAUGACAGAUUUUUAGGUUGCAGUGGAAAAAUGAAACUUUGGUCACCAGAAAAAAAUUCUAAAAUGAAUGUCAACCCGUAAAUGUCACUAGGUUAAUUACCAAUUAUGAAUGAACACUAAGGAUCAAGGUAUGGUCCUGAAGAAGAAAGUAAAUUCAGUUGUUACUGCCAUGCUUUCAAUCUAUUUUAAAGUCCUCAUCUGGGAAAAAUAACCUUAAAUAUGUCUACAGACUGACAUAUUUAUGUUUUGUUUUUAGGCAAUAACAAAUUUCCUUGAAGACCGACUCAGUCCUGUUUCAUUCC